rnacentral:rRNA from 1 species
AUUGAACGCUGGCGGCAUGCCUUACACAUGCAAGUCGAACGGUAAUAGAUCUUCGGAUGCUGACGAGUGGCGAACGGGUGAGUAAUACAUCGGAACGUGCCUAGUAGUGGGGGAUAACUACUCGAAAGAGUGGCUAAUACCGCAUGAGAUCUACGGAUGAAAGCAGGGGAUCGCAAGACCUUGUGCUACUAGAGCGGCCGAUGGCAGAUUAGGUAGUUGGUGGGAUAAAAGCUUACCAAGCCGACGAUCUGUAGCUGGUCUGAGAGGACGAUCAGCCACAGUGGGACUGAGACACGGCCCAGACUCCUACGGGAGGCAGCAGUGGGGAAUUUUGGACAAUGGGCGCAAGCCUGAUCCAGCAAUGCCGCGUGCAGGAUGAAGGCCUUCGGGUUGUAAACUGCUUUUGUACGGAACGAAAAGCCCUGGGUUAAUGCCCUGGGGUCAUGACGGUACCGUAAGAAUAAGCACCGGCUAACUACGUGCCAGCCGCCGCCGUAACAC